rnacentral:rRNA from 1 species
UAAGGAAUAUUGGUCAAUGGACGCAAGUCUGAACCAGCCAUGCCGCGUGGAGGAUGAAGGUCCUCUGGAUUGUAAACUUCUUUUAUCUGGGACGAAACACUUCUUUUCUAAGAGGCCUGACGGUACCAGAUGAAUAAGCACCGGCUAACUCCGUGCCAGCAGCCGCGGUAAUACGGAGGGUGCAAGCGUUAUCCGGAUUUAUUGGGUUUAAAGGGUCCGUAGGCGGACUUAUAAGUCAGUGGUGAAAGCCUGUCGCUUAACGAUAGAACUGCCAUUGAUACUGUAAGUCUUGAGUAUAUUUGAGGUAGCUUGAAUAAGUAGUGUAGCGGUGAAAUGCAUAGAUAUUACUUAGAACACCAAUUGCGAAGGCAGGUUACCAAGAUAUAACUGACGCUGAGGGACGAAAGCGUGGGGAGCGAACA